GGAAAAGAAAUCAUUGGUUAGAUAGAUUUAUUGCUAUUAAAUUUGGUUAUAUUAUACCUGUGUAAGUUCGAAUCUUACCUUUUCUG
rnacentral:tRNA from 1 species